rnacentral:rRNA from 1 species
UAGAGUAUCUGUACUAAAUAUGCCUGAUCUUGCUUGAUUUCAGGAGCCAAACCAGACUUGGUUAGUACUUCAGUGGGAGACCACGUGGGGAUCUUAGGUGGCUUGGG